rnacentral:lncRNA from 1 species
ACUAUUACUUGCUUCCUUUAUCUUUUUGUUCAUAGUUUCCAGAGUGAUUUUUAUGUCUUUAAGAAAAAUUAAGUGAUGGAUCUGGCCUAUCAAGUAGCAUUGAGACCUCAAGACCAAAAUUUCUGAAGCUUUUUCAAGUUCUACAGCGAUGGGAUUUUUAUGAAUGAAGUAAGGAGCAGACACAAGAGGUCUUCAAGGAGAACACUUCAGCCUGUCCUGGAGACUCAAAGGAAGAGUGACCAAAUGGGAAUGUUCCUGAAAAAUUACACAGGGGCCAGCAAGCUUUACACAGGGCAAGCAGUAUGUGGGGGAAGAAGAUACCUAAAGCCAAGGCUGUUAACUUGCAAUGAGGCACGAUGCAUUUGCUUACAUGUCCACCAUAGAAAAUUCACCCAAAUCAACAUGUCUCUAGAACUUAUAAACCUGGAACCAAACACCUGUCUCAAUAAGGUGUUGCUUUUUCAACUGAAACUUGACAUCACUUCUGAAAUGGCAUGUGUGACCAUAGAUGGUAUUCAAGUCAUUGAAGGUAUUCAAUCAUCAUUGAAGGUAUUCAAUCAUCAUUGAAGGUAUUCAAUCAUCAUUGAAGGUAAUGGGCACUUUGGCCUGCAGCAUCUGCCCUUUGGGACUGAAAACCUUUUCAGGCUUUUCUCUAAUCCUGCUCAGAUGCAGGAAUAUACUAUGAGAAUCCAAC